rnacentral:rRNA from 1 species
AACGAACGCUGGCGGCGUGCCUAAUACAUGCAAGUCGAGCGAACUUUCCGGGGUUCUUGCCCUCCGGAAGUUUAACGCCGGCGGGUUUGUUAAUCGGUUGGCAACCUCCCCGUAAAACCGGAAUAAAUUUCGGAAACCAUUGCAAGACCCGAUUGGUCGAACCUCUCGCUUAGGGGGCUCGGGAAAGGCGAGGCAGUCUGCCGCUUGUGCAGCGGCCAGCGGCUCCUUAGCUAGUUGGUGGGGUAACGGCCUCCCAAGGCGACGAUGCGUAGCCGACCUGAGAGGGAGGAUGGCCACACUGGGACUGAGACACGGCCCACACUCCUACGGGAGGAAGCAGUAGGGAAUCUUCCGCAAUGGACGCAAGUCGGACGGAGCAAAGCCGCGUGAGGGAGGAAGGACUUCGGGUCGUAAAGCUCUGUUGCCAGGGAAGAACGAGCAGGGGAGUAACUGCCCUUGCCAUGACGGUACCUGAGAAGAAAGCCCCGGCUAACUACGUG